AGAGUUUGAUCAUGGCUCAGAUUGAACGCUGGCGGCAUGCUUUACACAUGCAAGUCGAACGGGGUAGCAAUACCUAGUGGCGAACGGGUGAGUAAUGCAUCGGAACGUACCGUGUAGUGGGGGAUAACGCAGCGAAAGUUGUGCUAAUACCGCAUACGAUCUUUGGAUGAAAGUGGGGGACCUUCGGGCCUCACGCUAUA
rnacentral:rRNA from 1 species